UUUGUUAAUAUUUGUUGUUUUGUUUGUUCAUUGAGAUAGGAAUCCCACCAUCCUCUUAGCCAUCCAGUAAAUCCUGAAACUAUGGCUUUUGCUAUUUCCUGAUCAUGACUACCAGCCAUUUUACAUGCCGAAGCAUACAUAGUCAUAUGUUUCAUUGUAUCUAAUAUUCGGUGAUCGAAAUUCCAUCAAUGUUCCAAUCUAUAAUAGUUCGACCAGUAUAUGUAGAGGUAUGACUUGUAAGGUCUUCUUCUAAUUGGAUAUCAACUGGGGUUGGUCUCUUAUAAUAUGGUCGGGCA
rnacentral:lncRNA from 1 species